rnacentral:rRNA from 1 species
CAAUAGCGUAUAUUUAAGUUGUUGCAGUUAAAAAGCUCGUAGUUGGAUUUCGGUUAAGAGCGACCGGUCCGCCGUUUGGUGUGCACUGGUUGGUUUUAACUUCCUGUAGAGGACGUGCUCUGGGUUUAACGACCUGGACUCGGAGUCUACGUGGUUACUUUGAAAAAAUUAGAGUGUUCAAAGCGGGCUUACGCUUGAAUAUUUCAGCAUGGAAUAACACUAUAGGACUCCUGUCCUAUCUCGUUGGUCUCGGGACGGGAGUAAUGAUUAAGAGGAACAGUUGGGGGCAUUCGUAUUUCAUUGUCAGAGGUGAAAUUCUUGGAUUUAUGAAAGACGAACUUCUGCGAAAGCAUUUGCCAAGGAUGUUUNCAUUAA